CCAGCAGCCGCGGUAAUUCCAGCUCCAAUAGCGUAUAUUAAAGUUGCUGCAGUUAAAAAGCUCGUAGUUGAAUUUCGGGGUCAGUAGUUUGGUCGUGCCAAUGGUAUGUACUGGGCUCACUGAUUCCUCCUUCCUGAUGAACUGUAAUGCCAUUAAUUUGGUGUUGCAGGGAAACUGGACUGUUACUUGAAAAAAUUAGAGUGUUUAAAGCAAGCUAACGCUUGAAUACAUUAGCAUGGAAUAAUGAAAUAGGACGUUCGAUCCUAUUACGUUGGUUUCUAGGGAUUGACGUAAUGAUUAAUAGGGAUAGUUGGGGGCAUUAGUAUUCAAUUGUCAGAGGUGAAAUUCUUGGAUUUAUUGAAGACUAACUACUGCGAAAGCAUUUGCCAAGGAUGUUUCAUUAAUCAAGAACGAAAGUUAGGGGGAUCGAAGACGAUCAGAUACCGUCGUAGUCUUAACCAUAAACUAUGCCGACUAGGGGAUCGGAUGAUGUUAAUUUUUUAAUGACUCAUUCGGCGCCUUACG
rnacentral:rRNA from 1 species